UAUCAAUGAAAGAAUAAAAGUUGGUUUGAUUUGGACUCAUUUAUGACAAAAUGGAUGAGAUGAAACACAAAUGGUAAAACCACAUCUAUCUAUACUCCUGAACAAAAUAACUUUUGUGUUAUUUUCUCGUUCACAUGAUUUACAAGUUUACAGUGAGCAUGUAAUAGUGAAUAGUAUGUAACAUUUCAUAUGAACCCAGAUUUAAAGUUGGUCUUUUUUAAAUUUUUUUAUUAAUGUCAGUGAUAGUCUGUAAUCACACCAACUUCCCUUUAUGAUAAACUUUAAAGUUUGCAGAUACAUUAAAAUAUUGGCUAACACCCUAAUCUUCUAUUUUACUCUUUUGUCAUCUCUCUAAAAAAUAAAUAAAAAAUAAAAAAAUCAAAUAGCUGUAAUUUAAAACAGAGACUCACAAAAAAGAUGAUUUUUAAAGUCUUAUUACAGUCUGAGUUUAACAUGAAACAGCUCAGCCAAGAGAACAGAACUAUAAGUGCUUAUGUUAGAGCUCAACUUUCAGGGAAGUGAACGUGAACAACAGCUAAAAACAGCAGAACGAUUUAACAGAGGAGGUGUCAACAACUCUUCACACAGGCUUUGCUCUGUUGGACUCCUGGAUGAUGGCUGCUCGCAUAGUUCUUCUCCUUUUUUGCAGUUUGCUUCGGACAGCAAACCUUUUUUGACAACAUAGCACCCUGCCAGAGAUCCAACAAUAACGAUGCAUUCGAGAAAUUCAGGACACGCCACAUUCUUCCAGCCAGAAGUCCAGCAACUAUAACUGAGUGGGAGAGAUUAAUUCAGAAACGGAAACUCUGUGACAGACCCGUACAGUCAUUUCUUCGUCAAAGUGAUUUGGGUGAUGUGAAAGCUGUCUGCACAACAGGAGGGAAAGAGUACGAGGGGAAUCUGUGCAUCAGUCAGAGGAGUUUCACUUUUAGCACUGUAAGCUAUGAUGUGCGUAGCCGUCAUGUCACAAGUGUUGUAAGAGAAACCAAACAUCUGAUCCUGGCCUGUGAUAAAGUGAACAACAAGUGCCUGCCCGUCCACUUUAAAGAAAAUCCUGAUAAUGAAAACCCUCGUGAACAUGCCAAACUCUGCGAUGCUCCAAGACGCUGGGCUGAAUAGGACUUGAUAUCCUGUUAACCACACAAACAAAAUGUACAAAUACAGUUGCUUUAGAAAGUGUGUUGACAGAAUUGUGUCUAAGGCUACGAAUACAUCAGAACAUUUUCAUUUUUUUUCCAAUUCCAUGUGAUCAAAACGAGUCAUUUAGCUGAUCAACACACUGCCUUAGUGUAACUACUGCAUGCUCAUAAUUAAAGAGAAAGCAAAUGAA